AAAGAGCUCAUUCUGCGAGCCAGCAGAAACAGAAGCAAACCACCGGAGGACGUUCCCACUAUCAAACUAUUCGCAGACAUCUCUGCCUCUACCUUGAAAUGAAGGAAAGAUUUCUCUAAAGUCGCCAAUAUGCUGCUUGUUGAUGGCCUUAGAUUCCGUUGGGGAUUUCCAAUCAAAAUGCUGGUAACAAAAGUAACCUCGCCCGAGGAGGGCCUUCGCAGACUACAGUCCUGGGAGUUUGCGGAACACAGAUCUAC